rnacentral:rRNA from 1 species
AGAUUGAACGCUAGCGGGAUGCUUUACACAUGCAAGUCGAACGGCAGCGCGGACUUCGGUCUGGCGGCGAGUGGCGAACGGGUGAGUAAUAUAUCGGAACGUGCCCAGUAGCGGGGGAUAACUACGCGAAAGCGUGGCUAAUACCGCAUACACCCUACGGGGGAAAGGGGGGAUCGCAAGACCUCUCACUAUUGGAGCGGCCGAUAUCAGAUUAGCUAGUUGGUGAGGUAAAGGCUCACCAAGGCGACGAUCUGUAGCUGGUUUGAGAGGACGACCAGCCACACUGGGACUGAGACACGGCCAGACUCCUACGGGAGGCAGCAGUAGGGAUAUUGGACAAGUGG